CCUGAACGCUGGCGGCGUGGCUAAGACAUGCAAGUCGCACGGGGUAGCAAUACCCAGUGGCGAACGGGAGAGUAAUGAAUCGCUAACGUGCCCCGGACUCUGAGAUAGCUGGCCGAAAGGCCAGGUAAUAUCAGAUGAUAUAUUCCCUUGGCAUCUUGGGAAUCUCAAAGGUCCGCCGGUCUGGGAGCGGGCGAUUUCGUAUCAGCUAGUUGGUGAGGUAACGGCUCACCAAGGCGACGACGCGUAGCCGGACUGAGAGGUUGGCCGGCCUCAUUGGGACUGAGACACUGCCCAGACUCCUACGGGGGGCUGCAGUAACGAAUCUUCCGCAAUGCACGAAAGUGUGACGGAGCGACGCCGCGUGUAGGAUGAAGUCCUUCGGGAUGUAAACUACUGUCAGGGGUUAGAAAGUUCUGAUCAACCCCAGAGGAAGAGACGGCUAACUCUGUGCCAGCAGCCGCGGUAAUACAGAGGUCUCGAGCGUUAGGCGGAAUCACUGGGCUUAAAGCGUGUGUAGGCGGAUUGCUAAGUACCUUGUGAAAUCCCACGGCUUAACCGUGGAACUGCUUGGUAUACUGGCUGUCUUGAGCCACUUAGGGGCGACCGGAACAAACGGUGGAGCGGUGAAAUGCGUAGAUAUCGUUUGGAGCGCCAAAGGUGAAGACAGAUGGCUGGGUCAGUGCUGACGCUGAGGCACGAAAGCGUGGGUAGCGAACGGGAUUAGAUACCCCGGUAGUCCACGCCGUAAACGAUGUGUACUAGAUCGUGGAGGUUUUGACACCAUCAUGGUCGUAGAGAAAUUCUUAAGUACACCGCCUGGGGAGUACGGUCGCAAGGCUAAAACUCAAAGGAAUUGACGGGGGCUCACACAAGCGGUGGAGCAUGUGGCUUAAUUCGAAGCAACGCGAAGAACCUUAUCCAAGACUUGACAUGCACGGAUUAUUGAUCCGAAAGGUGAUAAACGCUCUCUGAGUGGAACGUGCACAGGUGCUGCAUGGCUGUCGUCAGCUCGUGCUGUGAAGUGUCGGGUUAAGUCCCUUAACGAGCGAAACCCCUAUCAUUAGUUGCCAGCGAGUCAUGUCGGGGACUCUAAUGAGACUGCCGGUGUCAAACCGGAGGAAGGUGGGGAUGACGUCAAGUCCUCAUGGCCUUUAUGUCUUGGGCUGCACACGUGCUACAAUGGCGUUGACAGAGCGAAGCAAUACGGCGACGUGGAGCAAAUCGCACAAACAACGCCCCAGUUCGGAUUGUGGUCUGCAACUCGACCACAUGAAGUUGGAAUCGCUAGUAAUCGCGCAUCAGCUACGGCGCGGUGAAUGUGUUCCUGAGCCUUGCACACACCGCC
rnacentral:rRNA from 1 species